rnacentral:lncRNA from 1 species
GGAGACAUGUUGGUGAUGUUGUUUUCUUGAAAUUUGGGGCUUAGUAAGCAUUAAGGUAUGAAGUAGGGUGAUUAAGGUUAUUAUAUGUUGGCUUGGUUCAAGUUGCUGUUGGACAAUCUUGUUGUUUUGGCUGUUCUUUAGUAUUUUUUGUAGUGCUGUAGGAGACAUGUUUAUGAUGUAGUUUUCUUGAAAUUUUGAGCUUAGUAAGCAUUAAGGUAUGAAGUAGAAUGAUUAAGGUUAUUAUAUGUUGACUUGAUUCAAGUUGCUGUUGGAAAUCUUGUUGUUUGGCUGUUCUUUAGUAUUUUUUGUAGUUCUGUAGGAAACAUGUUGGUGACGUUGUUUUCUUGAAAUUUGGGGUUUAGUAAGCAUUAAGGUAUGAAGUAGGGUGAUUUAAGGUUAUUAUAUGUCGACUUGAUUCAAGUUGUCGUUGGACAAUCUUAUUAUUUUGGCUGUUCUUUAGUAAUUUUUGUAGUACUGUAGGAGACAUGUUUAUGAUGUAGUUUUCUUGAAAUUUGGAGCUUAGUAAGCAUUCUCAGUUUCUAUAUUAUCAUCAAUUUUCCACUUGGGUUGUUCACAAGCUUACAAUGAUGAAGUAAAAUAAUUCUCUUAAUUUUUGAGUUUUGCUUUUGCUAAUCAAGACUUAGAACUCGCGUGCUAAAGUUGUCGUUGUUUGGUUAUCCUAAC